GCUAUCAAGUUGUGAAUAGCCCUAUGGAGGAACCAUAUAACAUGGCAGUAAAAUCUGGAGAUAACCUUGAGCAUUUGAGGGCUGCCAAAGCGACAUAAGUGAGCUUGGAAGUGGAUCCUCCCUGAUUUGAGAAGAUUAUACCCCAGGCCGGCAUCUUUACUGAAACCUUUCGAGAGACAUCAACCCAGAGAUUGUGGCUGGUUGCACGUGUCCACUGAUUUGGCCUCAAUGCAUUCUACAGCUCUGGGAGCUACUUUGUCCUCAGCUGCUGCAUGCCCCAGUUCUGCCUCUUGGUCUUGACUGUCAAGCCUUAAACACGGGUAAUACACCUACUGACCAAAAAUGAACUCGAAUCCUGACUCAUGGAGCAUCUCUGGACACUGUCUUCUGGUGGAAAACUCAUCUACUGGCCCUUGAUUGCACUGGCAUUUGUCAUUAUCCUUGUUUACAGUCUUUGAGCCGGUUUUCAAUCCAUGCAACAGCAUUUCUGUCCAAAUCCAUUUGUACGACUUUUUCAGUUCGGAUUUCACAAGGCAUUGGAUCAAAUGUAUUACGGAAGGUCCGGGUAUAUGACAUCUACACAUUCUCUUCCUCCAGUCAUUUUCUAAUUAGAUUCUUUUAAAAGUAGGGGUGGCAUGAGUGAGGGGAGAUCAAGUUUCACUGGCGCAACCUGCCUGUGCUGUCGCACCACCUGGCGAAAACUCCUGUGUGGAAGUAUCGCUGCCAGCACAAGUUGAAUACCCACGGUAAGCUGGAGGGGUUUUUAAUGGAACUGAAAUGCCAGCUGCUCCUCACAUUCCUCAUGCCAUAUUGUCCAGUGAAGCAGCCACUUUUUCAUCAGCUCUAGCCAGGAAUCAUUGAGUCAUUUUAGAUCCACUUUUAUCCUUUGAUCAACAUUUGAUCUAUGGGAUGAAGCCAAGUUGUGAGUCCAUCAGCUUCCCUCACUUGUGCUGUUUCCCUCUUUCUUUUAUGCACUCAGUUACUAACACUCACUUCUAACCGAACUCAUUUCUAACCAGCUGUACCUCUGUAAAGCUUUAUUCUUUGGCUUAAGGUAGUCACUUAUCUGUUGCAGGCUGUUUUAUUCAGCUGGUCAAGUUGACCCUGGCACUGUGGGCACAGUCCUUCUUAUUACUCAGGCACUUCAUGUUCUUAAAUGAAGUCGCCCUAAAGCGUUGGCUUAUAGUGUCUCUCGUCUUCAGUGGACUGAGAGCAAACACAGCUAUCUGGAUUUCAUUGCAUUUUUUUUUUCUUUUUUAAGUCUGGAGACAUUUAGUCCCCAAUAAAAAGUCAGCAGAGCUUGUGUGGUUGACGUAAAACGGUGAGCAGGGGAAGAGGUGGUGAAGUCCUUGCCUGUGCUGUCUAGGAGCACUCUUAUCUUAAUACUUCUGUAGAGUCUCGUGCUAUUUUCAAACAGAGACAAUUUUAGCAUAACUCCCUAAAUUUUGCCCCCACCCCUUUUUUGGCAAAUCACCCUGAUGCAAAACUUUCAAAAGGCUAAAAAAAAAAAAUACUGACAAUAAAUUAUUGUAAAUGGCAUGUUCAACUCCUUGUAUAUAUUAGAAUGUCUCUAGUCUCUCCUUCCCCAAUGAAAUUAGCCAACAGUUUUUAAUUUUUCCUCAUUUUCUAAAGUGUCUUGCUCUUCUCUGACUAUUUGAACUUUGCACUGUGCAGCUUUCUCAAAUCUCUGCACCAGAAAUGAAUUUUAUAAUACUUGACCUUUUAAUCUAGCAAAUCAGACCCUUUUGUAAUUAAAUUAAACUUUUCAUAGGAUGAACCGAACUAUCAAAUGUCAUCUUAUCUUUAGCAGCAGCAGCUGAUGCAGAAACAUCAGACACUGCAGACAAGACAAGAAAGAGUCAAAACAGAUCAUUAACACCAGUCUAAAUGCCUUUAGACUGUUUUACAAUGUCUUCGUGCUCAGCUCUUGAAAAUAAGCUGUCAAAAACUAUGUUGCUGUCUGUUCAAAGAAUACAAAGUAAUAUACUAAGUAUAUUUGCUUUGAAGCUGUCUGGAGCAGCUUUGAAAAAGAUUAGCAACUUAGUAUGGACAUAUGAGUCCUGAGGCGAAUUGAAUUGCCAUUUUGGGGACAAGAAGCACUAAAUGUGGAUGUGCUAUAUUAUGCUUAUAAGGUUGCUCUUUGCUAAUAAAAGCUAAUCGAAAAUGGGAAAGAACCAAUUAUUGAUAGAAUAUAUGGAAUGAAAAUAAACAUUAGAAGAUAGGGGCUAAACUGCCAUUAAACAAUAAGAUAUGUUUGAAAUCCUUCUUAACAUUUUAAAACACAUUUAUACUUAUAAUUAAAAAUUCUUUCAAAGAUCUAUGAAUAAUAAGUGAAGUUCAGUCAUAAUUUUCAAACUUCAAAAAUAACUGCUGUCUUAUUCCAGGCUCCAAAAAUAUUUAAGCAGAUCUAAUAAAACCAGCAAGAUAUCUGAAUAAAAUUUACCACGUCUUAUCACCUUCAUGAUCCGUGAGGACCUAUUUUCUGAGUAACCA